CGUUAUCUGAAAAAGGUAAAUAAUAGGGUCUUGAUAAAAAUAACUGUUUUAUAGACAAUAAUAGACUAGCCUUACCUAAGGGCAGAACUAAAAGAUUUACCAAAAACUAUCAAAAAUAUCAAAUUCAUUAUAAUGUUAAAGUAAACAAUUCGAUGAAUCCAAUUGUACUGCUUGAAAAGUAUAAGUUUGCAUUCGAUGAAACCUAUAGGCUAUCACCACAGUUUUGUUCGUUUCAAUAAACAAGUUUGACAGUAAAAAAUAAAAAUCGUGUUUCAAUGAAAAAAUUUAAUAUUCCAUAUACCUAUAAUAAAAGAAAAAAAAGCUCAUAAGCCACAAGUAUUAUCAUAAAACAAUAUUAUAGUAUGCGUUGUUAUACUGUGGGUUAUACAUUUGAUUUUGUGUUUCUAAUGUUUCAAUUAAAAUAUCUAUCGGAUAAUAUCGGAAAAAAUAUAGCUGUAUAAUAUAAAAUAACAAAUUCAACCGCGAAAUUGAAAAAUAAUGUACUGAAUAACCAAACAAAUCCGUUCAACGUUUUAUUAGCUAUAUCAGCCCAUAAUUUGUUUAAUUUUGAUGUGUAGUUAAAAAGAAUUCGUAUAGAUGCCGCUAGCUAAUAUUAUGCUGCAUAAAUAAUUAUUUAGUAUUAAAUACCGUUACUAGGAAAUUGUAACCGAUACAGCGUAGAGAUCUAUUGGUUUUACUAUGAUCUGUGUUUAGAUUCUUAAUGUCUUUUUUCUGUCUUUAAACAACUUUGAGACCAAAAAUCUUGCUCCAAACGAAAAAUAAAGAAAGAACUUUUUUGAAAAAUGUUGGAUCUAAUUGGUAAGUUACUCGUAUUACGUCACUUUUUUUGCAUUUUCCGAUCAGUUUUCAUAAUAAUUGUAAAUGACCGGAAAUAGAUAUAAAAUGAAAAUGAAUAAAUUUACUGAAUGCAAUUUCAUUAUUUUUAAAUUUUUAGAAAUUAAGUAUGUUUUCCAGAUGUGAUUAAAUUUUCAAAAUAUUUGGGCGCUAUUCAUAGGUAUUUUAUAUUUUCAAGUUUUAUUAUAUAGUUUUUCUUUAAUAGUUAUUCAUUGGAUUUAAAUGUAAAUUUCACAAUUUACAUACCGGGGAUCAAUCGUAACUAAGGAUAAAUGAUGCUAGGACAGAGGUGUCGUUAAGAAUACUCCAAUCGAUUAAGGGAUAUUAUAGGUUGGAAAACGUUCUGAAAUCUAAAAACCCUAUUCAAAAACAAGGAUAUACAAUAUUAAGACAGAUUGUCUUAUAUGGUGCUGAAAUAUGGGCACUGAGAAAAACAGAAGAAUUGAAACUCACCGUAUUUGAGAGGAAAGUCCUCAGAAAAAUCUAUUGCCCAGUCUUCGGUAAUCAAACUAAAUAAUGGAGAAAACUACAUAAUGAUGAACUCCAAAGGCAGUUUUAGAGGCUGGAUAUAGUUAGAAACAAAGCUAGGAGAAGAUUGAUAUGGGCAGGCUACGCCUGGCGUAAGUAGGAAUCUUUAAAUAAGUGGUUGAUUGAGAAGGAACUUAUAAGGAGGAGACUAAAGUUAAGGUGUGAAAGACUGUGUAAAGAAGGACGUCAAAAUGAUAAGGCCAGAAAUUAGCUGAAGAGAAGCUGCAGAACACAGGAAAAGAUGGCAAUAAAGGAAGAAAGUAAUACUUGGAUACGAUUGUUUUAGCAAACAGAAAUGCUUACAAAUUUAACACGAGGUCCAUUAUAAGUUGUACAUAGCGGAAGUUUUUUUUUUAUAAUCGUUUUAAAAUCAAAUUUUGACAAAAAUCAUUAAUAUUACAAGCGUUUCAAAACAUGUACAACGGAACUUCACCAGAAUCGUAUUCGUUAGCAAAGGCUUUCACGACUUUCUAUCUACAACAGUGGCGCAUCCAUCAGCAGUAUCAAUUCUUCAUUUAUAAGAAAUUUGUGUAUACAUAUAUAUAUAUUUUAAGGAAAUGAUCUGUAUUAUUGAAUAACGUAACCAUAUAUUAUGUUACAAUGAUAUAAAAAUUGAAAUUGAUCAUAGCUGUAAUCGAUAUUAGCUAUUCAAUGUCGGGAAUAUUUUCAUUCGUACACGCAUUCCUUAAAUUGGAAAAAAAAAAGCAUAAAUUAUAAAAUGGUAAUGUAUAAUUAUAAAAAAAGUAUCGAUUUUAAAAAUAAAAAAUAUCCGAACUGAUCUGUGAUAAAUAAUAAUAAAAAAAAAUUAAACUAAACAGAGUUGUACCGUAAAAACGUGUAAGGGUUUUGGAAAAUUGAAUAAUAGCAAUUGUUCAGCUGAAUGUUUUACUGAACAUUAAUCAUCAAACGAUAAGCAUAACCAGAGUCGCUCGAAUUACCCUAUCUAUACACCCACCACCAUCACCGAAACCGCACACAUAUAACCGUCGCCACCGCUGGUGCUGUACACAGCUGCCCAAAGUACACACUCCAUGUCGCCGCAUCAACUGCCGCUACAACAUUAUCCUAACUAUUAUAGAAAAUACUCGGUCAGUCAAAAAAUUAAAUCAACUUUCAACGUAAAAAUUAACACGACAUUUUUUGAAUUGAAUUUCAGGUAGAAAAAAAACGCAUUAUGAUAAAGGAAUAACCACAACGGCGAAUUGUAAAACCAUUACGUUCCUUUCUCCGCUCGGAUUUUAAAAUAAAAAAAAAAAAACCAUUGAAUACAAUACAAGUAUUGUUAUAUGAUUAGCAGAGUAUUCGAUUACAUAUUUAAUUCGUAAGUAUUCGCGUUACUAGACCUACCACUGUUGCCACUGUUUGUUGUUUUUAUUACUGCAACAGCUGGUAUUACUACAAUCGAGCUCGUAUACUACCUAUUAUUUAAAAAAAUAACGAAUAAUAAACGAGAUUAAAACCAUACAGGUAUACCUAUAGGUACGUAAUGUAUACUAAUAAAAAGUUACUCGUACAAUAUCAAUUAUACGAUUUUAUGUGGGUCGCGUCGUAAAAGUUUUCAUUCCGUCUGUCCACGGAGAACGGACCUAAACCUAUUCAAUGCGUGCACUACACCUCGUUCUAGCUGGUGCGGUUGUCACCGUAACGAAAAAAGGAUAUCCAGAACGGGACUCCAGACCGACGGGUUCUGUCGACGUGGUCGCCAAGAGGAAGGACAGAACGGGUCUCCAGGUCGGCUGGUUCUGUGAAUCGGGCUGGGGAGACUAUAGUUCAGGGGCAUUAGAUUUAAGUUGGCAAUAUUAAGGUUUAUGUAAGUGGGUGCAGUAAUGAACUUGCGCCUGCGCACCCUCACAACGUGUAAACUGUAUAUAUUUGUAUUAACUGCACAUGUAUAUGUAUUGAUAUAUUAAAUUUGUGUGGGUCG
rnacentral:lncRNA from 1 species